GUUUUAAUAGUUUAAUCAAAAACAAUGAUUUUGUAAAUCAUAAUUAGGUAUUUACCUUUAAAACU
rnacentral:tRNA from 1 species